AUUUAACGCUGGCGGCAGGCCUAACACAUGCAAGUCGAGCGAGCGGCGGACGGGUGAGUAAUGUAUGGGGACUGCACGAUAGAGGUGGAUAACUACUGGAAACGGUGGCUAAUACCGCAUACUGAUGGAGAACCCAUAGGGGAUUAGCUAGUAGGUAAGGUAAUGGCUUACCUAGGCGCCGAUCCCUAGCUGGUCUGAGAGGAUGAUCAGCCACACUGGGACUGAGACACGGCCCAGACUCCUACGGAGGCAGCAGUGGGGAAUAUUGCACAAUGGGCGCAAGCCUGAUGCAGCCAUGCCGCGUGUAUGAAGAAGGCCCUAGGGUUGUAAAGUACUUUCAGUCGGGAGGCGUUACCGACAGAAGAAGCACCGGCUAACUCCGUGCCAGCAGCCGCGGUAAUUC
rnacentral:rRNA from 1 species